rfam:Picea glauca, whole genome shotgun sequence.
AUGUACAUUCCUACAACUUAGAAUUAAUGCACUGGAUCCCAUUAGAACUUCAUAGUUAACCAUGCUCAGGCUAGAUUAGUACUGGGAUGGGUGACCACCCAGGAAGUCCUAGUAUUUUACAUG